GAUCAAGUGUCUUAAGGGCAAUUGGUGGAUGCCUUGGCAUGCACAGGCGAUGAAGGACGUGAUACGCUGCGAUAAGCUACGGGGAGGUGCGAAUACCCUUUGAUCCGUAGAUUUCCGAAUGGGGAAACCCACCUAAGGUGCUUGGAAAAUCAGAGCAGCAGGGCAACCUGCUGCUGUGGUUUCCAAGUAUCGAUAAUAGGUAACUUACCCUGAAUAAAAUAGGGGUAAAGUGGCGAACGCGGGGAACUGAAACAUCUAAGUACCCGUAGGAAAGGACAUCAACCGAGACUCCGGCAGUAGUGGCGAGCGAACCCGGACCAGGCCAGUGGCGAUGAUGAGACAAGCGGAACCUUCUGGAAAGUAGGGCCAUAGUGGGUGACAGCCCCGUACGCGUAAUGCAAAUCAUCGUCCUCGAGUAAGGCGGGACACGUGAAAUCCUGUCUGAAAUUGGGGGGACCACCCUCCAAGCCUAAGUACUCGUGCAUGACCGAUAGCGAACUAGUACCGUGAGGGAAAGGUGAAAAGCACCCCGACAAGGGGAGUGAAAGAGUACCUGAAACCGAUUGCCUACAAACAGUGGGAGUCCAAGGUUCGUCCUGGGUGACCACGUACCUUUUGUAUAAUGGGUCAGCGACUUAGUGUGACGAGCAAGCUUAAACCGCUAGGUGUAGGCGCAGCGAAAGCGAGUCUGAACAGGGCGUUCAGUUCGUCGCAUUAGACCCGAAACCGAGUGAUCUAGCCAUGAGCAGGUUGAAGGUAAGGUAACACUUACUGGAGGACCGAACCCAUAACUGUUGCAAUAGUUCGGGAUGACUUGUGGCUAGGGGUGAAAGGCCAAUCAAACUCGGAAAUAGCUGGUUCUCCGCGAAAUCUAUUUAGGUAGAGCGUCGACCGAAUACCCCAGGGGGUAGAGCACUGGAUGGGCUAGGGGUCCUCACCGGAUUACCAAACCUAACCAAACUCCGAAUACCUGGGAGUACUAGUCGGCAGACACACGGCGGGUGCUAACGUCCGUCGUGAAAAGGGAAACAACCCUGACCUACAGCUAAGGUCCCCAAGUUAUGGCUAAGUGGGAAAGGAUGUGAGGAUCCCAAAACAACCAGGAUGUUGGCUUAGAAGCAGCCAUCAUUUAAAGAAAGCGUAACAGCUCACUGGUCUAAAUAAGGGUCUUUGCGCCGAAAAUGUAACGGGGCUCAAGCCAUACACCGAAGCUUAGGGUUCGUGAGCAAUCACGAGCGGUAGCGGAGCGUUCUGUAAGCUGAUGAAGCCAUACCCGUGAGGGGUGGUGGAGGUAUCAGAAGUGCGAAUGCUGACAUGAGUAACGUAAGGGGAGUGAGAGACUCCCCCGCCGAAAGUCCAAGGGUUCCUGCUUAAAGCUAAUCUGAGCAGGGUUAGCCGGCCCCUAAGUCGAGGCAGAAAUGCGUAGACGAUGGGAACCACGUUAAUAUUCGUGGGCCUGGAGGAAGUGACGGAUCAUUGAGGUAGUCCAAUCUUAUCGGAUUGAAAGGGCUGCUGCGUGGUUCCAGGAAAUAGCUCCUCCUUAUAGACCGUACCCGAAACCGACACUGGUGGACUGGUAGAGUAUACCAAGGCGCUUGAGAGAACUAUGCUGAAGGAACUCGGCAAAUUGCACGCGUAACUUCGGAAGAAGCGUGACCCUUUUCCACGCAAGUGGAGGAGGGUGGCACAGACCAGGGGGUAGCGACUGUUUAUCAAAAACACAGGGCUCUGCGAAGUCGCAAGACGACGUAUAGGGUCUGACGCCUGCCCGGUGCUGGAAGGUUAAGAGGAGGGGUGCAAGCUCUGAAUCGAAGCCCCAGUAAACGGCGGCCGUAACUAUAACGGUCCUAAGGUAGCGAAAUUCCUUGUCGGGUAAGUUCCGACCUGCACGAAUGGCGUAACGACUUCCCCGCUGUCUCCAGCAUAGACUCAGUGAAAUUGAAUUCCCCGUGAAGAUGCGGGGUUCCUGCGGUUAGACGGAAAGACCCCGUGCACCUUUACUAUAGCUUUACAUUGGCAUUCGUAGUGGCAUGUGUAGGAUAGGUGGUAGGCUUUGAAACCUGGGCGCCAGCUCAGGUGGAGCCACCCUUGAAAUACCACCCUUAUCACUAUGGAUGUCUAACCGCGGCCCGUUAUCCGGGUCCGGGACAAUGUAUGGUGGGUAGUUUGACUGGGGCGGUCGCCUCCUAAAGAGUAACGGAGGCGCGCGAUGGUGGGCUCAGAACGGUCGGAAAUCGUUCGCUGAGUGCAAUGGCAUAAGCCUGCCUGACUGCGAGACUGACAAGUCGAGCAGAGACGAAAGUCGGUCAUAGUGAUCCGGUGGUCCCGCGUGGAAGGGCCAUCGCUCAACGGAUAAAAGGUACGCCGGGGAUAACAGGCUGAUGACCCCCAAGAGUCCAUAUCGACGGGGUUGUUUGGCACCUCGAUGUCGACUCAUCGCAUCCUGGGGCUGGAGCAGGUCCCAAGGGUAUGGCUGUUCGCCAUUUAAAGCGGUACGUGAGUUGGGUUCAGAACGUCGUGAGACAGUUCGGUCCCUAUCUGCCGUGGGUGUAGGAAUAUUGAAAGGAUCUGUCCCUAGUACGAGAGGACCGGGAUGGACGGAUCUCUGGUGGACCUGUUGUGGCGCCAGCCGCAUAGCAGGGUAGCUAUAUCCGGACGGGAUAACCGCUGAAGGCAUCUAAGCGGGAAACCCACCUUAAAACGAGUAUUCCCUGAGAACCGUGGAAGACGACCACGUUGAUAGGCCGGGUGUGGAAGAGCGGCAACGCUUGAAGCUUACCGGUACUAAUAGUUCGAUCGGCUUGAUCGUUCUCAUU
rnacentral:rRNA from 1 species